rnacentral:rRNA from 1 species
AUUGAACGCUGGCGGCAGGCUUAACACAUGCAAGUCGAGCGGGGUGAUGGUGCUUGCACUAUCACUUAGCGGCGGACGGGUGAGUAAUGCUUAGGAAUCUGCCUAUUAGUGGGGGACAACAUCUCGAAAGGGAUGCUAAUACCGCAUACGUCCUACGGGAGAAAGCAGGGGAUCACUUGUGACCUUGCGCUAAUAGAUGAGCCUAAGUCGGAUUAGCUAGUUGGUGGGGUAAAGGCCUACGAAGGCGACGAUCUGCAGCGGGUCUGAGAGGAUGAGCCGCCACACUGGGACUGAGACACGGCCCAGACUCCUACGGGAGGCAGCAGUGGGGAAUAUUGGACAAUGGGGGGAACCCUGAUCCAGCCAUGCCGCGUGUGUGAAGAAGGCCUUAUGGUUGUAAAGCACUUUAAGCGAGGAGGAGGCUCUUUUGGUUAAUACCCAAGAUGAGUGGACGUUACUCGCAGAAUAAGCACCGGCUAACUCUGUGCCAGCCGCCGCGGUAA